rnacentral:lncRNA from 1 species
UUUAAAUUGCAUUACAUCUAAUCUUCAUCGCAUUUUGGUUAUUUAUUUCAACAUUUUAACAAAAUUGACCUUCUUAAAUGUCACAUUUUUACGCUUUCACCCAUUUUAUCGGUUUGAAGAAGCGAGUCGAAAUUUGAGCAACAGUCCUCCCCAGGCAGGAAUAAAAAAAAGCCCCUCAGCUGCGACUGAAGAAAUAUUGGAAAAACAAACAGGCACCAUGCAGCCUCGGGACAGCAGACUGGCACCAGCCCAAUCACCUGCAUCUACGAGAACAGAUGAGCUUCUUUGCGAAGGCAGUAAAACAGGGACAGAUCUCUGACACUUCCCCUUUCUGUAUGUGAGACUUAUGUCUGUAUACUGCAGGCCCAAAUGAUAGAGCCUCUCUGAGAAUCCGAAUUGUACUGGAGUAAGUCCGUUUAGUUCAUUUACUGUAGCUUCAGCUUGAAAAAAGAGUUGCUUUUUAAAUAUGCAAACCAGUGUCUUGGCAUAACAGAGUGACAGAACAGAACUUUGUUUGAAUGCGUCUUCUGACAAGUAGAUUAUACAGAGGCAAAACAAAUGUUUUUUUCUCAGUGGACACCUGUAUCCAGGGCAACUUGUAAUGUAUACACUUCACUUUUAAGUGAUAAGCACAAAAUCAAGAGUAACUAACAUUUUCCUAUCAUUUUUUUCCACUUGGCUUUUUUUCAGGCAAAGAAUACAAAUGCCUUCUAUUCCAAAUCAAGACACGCCUUUACUAUUGGUAGUUCCAAAUAGUCUUUUUUGUUGCCUGGAGCACAUUCUACAAACACCCUGUCGAGCACUUUUCAAGCUCGUCUGACCCCCCCUCCCCUUCCCAGAAGAUGCCCAAUCUCCAUCUUUCUUUGCAUAUUGCAUAUUUCUGAUGAAGUAUAAUUUUUGAAUUGCUCAGUAUGUCUUUUUGUUUGUUUU